rnacentral:tRNA from 1 species
AAAAACUUAGGAUAUUUAAACCAAAAGCCUUCAAAGCUUUUAAAAAGGGUGUAAACCCU